ensembl:lncRNA
AAGGGAACAUUUCAUGCAAAGAUGGGCACAAUAAAGAACAGAAAUGGUAUGGACCUAACAGAAGCCGAAGAUAUUAAGAAGAGGUGGCAGGCAUACACAGAAGGACUAUACAAAAAAGAUCUUCAUAACCCAGAUAAUCACGAUAGUGUGAUCACUUACCUAGAGCCAGACAUCUUGGAAUGCAAAGUCAAGUGGGCCUUAGGAAACAUCACUAUGAACAAAGCUAAUGGAGGUGAUGGAAUUCCAGUUGAGCUAUUUCAGAUCCUAAAAGGUGAUGCUGUGAAAGUGCUGCACUCAAUAUGCCAGCAAAUUUGGAAACCUCAGCAGUGGCCACAGGACUGGAAAAGGUCAGUUUUCAUUCCAAUCCCAAAGAAAGGCAAUGCCAAAGAAUGCUCUAACUACCGCACAAUUGCACUCAUCUCACACGCUAGCAAAGUAAGGCUCAAAAUUCUCCAAGCCAGGCUUCAAUGGUACGUGAACUGUGAACUUACAGAUAUUCAAGCUGGAUUUAGAAAAGACAGAGGAGCCAGAGAUCAAAUUGCAAACAUUUGUUGGAUAAUCAAAAAAGCAAGAGAGUUCCAGAAAAGCAUCUAUUUCUCCUUUAUUGACUAUGCCAAAGCCUUUGACUAUGUGGAUCACAAUAAACUGUGGAAAAUUCUGAAAGAGAUGCGAAUACCAGACUACCUGACCUGGCUCUUGAGGAAUCUGUAUGCAGGUCAAGAGACAAAAAUUAGAACCAGACAUGGAACAACAGACUGGUUCCAAAUCAGUAAAGGGGUAUUUUGAGGCUAUAUAUUGUCACCCUGCUUAUGUAGCUUAUGUGCAGAGUACAUCAUGAGAAAUGCUGGGCUGGAUGAAGCACAAGCUGGAAUCAAGAUUGCUGGGAGAAAUAUCAAUAACCUCAGAUAUGCAGAUGACACCACCCUUGUGGCAGAAAGCAAAGAAGAACUAAAGAACCUCUUGGUGAAAGUGAAAGAGGAGAGUGAAAAAGUUGGCUUAAAACUCAACAUUCAGAAAACUAAGAUCAUGGUAUUCGGUCCUAUCUCGUCAUGGCAAAUA